AUUGAACGCUGGCGGCAGGCUUAACACAUGCAAGUCGAGCGGGGUGAUGGUGCUUGCACUAUCACUUAGCGGCGGACGGGUGAGUAAUGCUUAGGAAUCUGCCUAUUAGUGGGGGACAACAUCUCGAAAGGGAUGCUAGUACCGCAUACGUCCUACGGGAGAAAGCAGGGGAUCACUUGUGACCUUGCGCUAAUAGAUGAGCCUAAGUCGGAUUAGCUAGUUGGUGGGGUAAAGGCCUACCAAGGCGACGAUCUGUAGCGGGUCCGAGAGGAUGAUCCGCCACACUGGGACUGAGACACGGCCCAGACUCCUACGGGAGGCAGCAGUGGGGAACUUUGGACAAUGGGCGCAAGCCUGAUCCAGCCAUUCCGCGUGCAGGAUGAAGGCCCUCGGGUUGUAAACUGCUUUUGUACGGAACGAAACGGCCCCUUCUAAUACAGGGGGCUAAUGACGGUACCGUAAGAAUAAGCACCGGCUAACUACGUGCCAGCCGCCGCAGUAA
rnacentral:rRNA from 1 species